rnacentral:misc_RNA from 1 species
GAUGAAGAACGUAGCGAAAUGCGAUAAGUAGUGUGAAUUGCAGAAUUCAGUGAAUCAUCAAAUCUUUGAACGCACAUUGCGCCCCUUGGUAUUCCAUGGGGCAUGCCUGUUCGAGCGUCAUUUGUACCUUCAAGCUCUGCUUGGUGUUGGGUGUUUGUCUCGCCUCUGCGUGUAGACUCGCCUCAAAACAAUUGGCAGCCGGCGUAUUGAUUUCGGAGCGCAGUACAUCUCGCGCUUUGCACUCAUAACGACGACGUCCAAAAGUACAUUUUUACACUCUUGACCUCGGAUCAGGUAGGGAUACCCGCUGAACUUAAGCAUAUCAAUAGCGGAGGA